rnacentral:rRNA from 1 species
GAUGAACGCUGGCGGCGUGCCUAAUACAUGCGAGUCGAGCGAACAGACGAGGAGCUUGCUCCUCUGACGUUAGCGGCGGACGGGUGAGUAACACGUGGAUAACCUACCUAUAAGACUGGGAUAACUUCGGGAAACCGGAGCUAAUACCGGAUAAUAUAUUGAACCGCAUGGUUCAAUAGUGAAAGACGGUUUUGCUGUCACUUAUAGAUGGAUCCGCGCCGCAUUAGCUAGUUGGUAAGGUAACGGCUUACCAAGGCGACGAUGCGUAGCCGACCUGAGAGGGUGAUCGGCCACACUGGAACUGAGACACGGUCCAGACUCCUACGGGAGGCAGCAGUAGGGAAUCUUCCGCAAUGGGCGAAAGCUUGACGGAGCAACGCCGCGUGAGUGAUGAAGGUCUUCGGAUCGUAAAACUCUGUUAUUAGGGAAGAACAAAUGUGUAAGUAACUAUGCACGUCUUGACGGUACCUAAUCAGAAAGCCACGGCUAACUACGU